ensembl:lncRNA
UGUACAGUCUGACCUACCUGCCAACCAUUUAAUCAGAACUCCUAUCAUGGCAAAGUUUUUGGUGGGUGUCCUCUGGCUUAAAUACCUUUUGAACAUCUUCAAAUUGAUUUUAUCACUAUGCCAAAAGCUGGACAGUAUAGAUUUUGCCUGGUCAUAGUAGAUCAGCUGACCAGAUGGCCUGAAGCAUUUCCUACUUCUUGAGCAACAGUGGCUUUUGUUGCCAAGGUGCUCUUAAAAGAAAUUAUUCCUCGCUUUGGUCUGCCAGCAUGACUUGAUUCAGACAAGGUAACUCAUUUCACCUAUUCAGUUUUGUCUCAGAUAUAUUCUUGUUUGGGGAUAACUCCCAAAUUCCAUGUACCAUACCAUCCCCAGAGCUCAGGCCAAGUUUAGAGAAUGAAUAGAGAUCUUAAAAGUAUAAUUGGAAAAUUGUGUAUGGAGAUUCACUUAAAAUGGCCUGAAAUUCUCCCCCUGGCCCUCUUUUAUCUUUGAAGCAGGUCCAGGGGAGAUCUAUACUUCUCACCAGUUAAGAUGAUUUUUGAACAUCUCCUUAUGGAGACUAAACCUUUCUCUCCCUCAUACACAUCAUUACUAGGGGGUGACACUUCUAUUGCUUCAUAUAUACAGGAUUUAUAGAUCAAAUUGCGAGAAUGUCAUGAAUCUGGAAUUGCUGUAUAAGCAGGACCUAUAGACUUCUCACUCCGUGACUUGCACCCAGAUGACAACUUCCAGCACACUGGAGCAACUCAGCCUGCCUGGGAAGGUCCAUUCCAAGUCCUCUUAACCUCUCCAACAGCUAUCAAAACUGGAGAAAAGGAUCCAUUCCUCACAUGUAAAGAUAAGAAACUUGCUACCUCCCUGAAUCAAGAAAGUGAACUGUUUGGAGAAGGAGCCAUGGAAUUCCUGCAGAAAUCACACACUGCACCAAAAGAUCCAGAGUGAACUUCGGGAUAUAGUAAAACUGAACUAUAGAGGUUGAAUGCAUUUAUUUUGAAUGUACCGUCAUAUGCAAAAGGGGACUGCCCCUUAAUUGGCUUUUUGUCAAUGCACCUAGCAAUCAUUAGUUUUGUUCUUUUUCUUUUUUAUUUCCUUUCAUCCCCAAAUUAUUGUAAUUCCCCCUUAGAAAGUAUAAUAUUGUAUGUGUUAAAUCUUUUUUAACUCUAGUUAAAAAUUUUUAGAGAUAUAAAUUGGUUAUGUGAAAUGAUUCAUUGUAGAAACUAGGCAUGUAAAUCUGGGAGAUUUCUAUAUGCUCGUUUCACGAUGGAAUCACGGUGGGGGGGGAUUGCAUAAUUAGAAUCCUCUCCCAAAGAACUCUCUUUCCCAGCUUCC